UGCCCUCGGGACUUCCCAAGCACCAUUGCGCCGCACUUGCGCAGUAGUGUAUUCUCGCCGAAUCUGCUGUAAGUACCGCAGCAUCUUCUUUCUGUCAUUUUAACGACGUAAUUGUGCAAAACUGUUUUAAAAAUCACGAGUUUGAUUGACUCUCAUCACACUGAGGAACUGAGCUCAGAUUUAGCUUCGUAAACAAUGGAACAUCCAACUUUUAGAAGGGCCCCUAACGGGACCCUCCUGCUAAAGGCCUCGCCAGAGGCUCAGGCUCUGGGGCCCCGGCAGGCCGGCUACAGGGCCAGACCUUCCACUGGCUGCUGGAGAACGACGUGGGCUACGCCGUUAAUCUGGUUUCCUCCCACCAGAAGGAGCGAGAGAGGACAGGGUCUCAGUCCCCGCUGAUGGCCAACAAGGAUGCCUUCACCCGGUACUCCUCAGACUACCAGGACUUUGUGGAAGCCGUUAGGUUCCACAAUGCGUUUGAGGAGGCCCGGGUGAAGUCCCUCCAGCCUGGGCAGGAGGGACAGGCCCUUGUUGGCUUCGGCGACUUCAGAUUUGAGACCCUGCAGAGCCUGUACGAGGCUGAGGACCCAAAGAAGAUCCGAUUCGUCAACUACCUGAGGAGGAAGGCGCCAGCUCCAGGCACGCAGAUGGAGAACGCCGUCCGCUACGUCAGAAGCCGAGACAGACAGAGGAGUAACCCUGCUGCUGCUGCCACCACUGCUACCAGGACCUCCACCUCCUCCACCUCCACUGCUACCAGGACCUCCACCUCCUCCACCUCCACUGCUACUAGGACCUCCACCUCCUCCACCUCCACUGCUACCAGGACCUCCACCUCCUCCACCUCCACUGCUACUAGGACCUCCACCUCCUCCACCGUCAGCAGCAGCUCUGUCUCUGUCUCGGCUUUGAUGCAGGAUCCCAGAGCUGCAUCCCAAUUUGCAGCCUUUGUCUCUGGCCGGCGUUCUCUCUCUGCGGUGGAAAUGCAGGCAAAGAUAAAGAAGCUGGUGGUGUCUAAGCCUGCAUUUCCAGCCUCCUCCAGACGAGCUCUUUCCUCAGAACCACCUGAGGAGCCCAUGGAUGAAGAGCUGGUCCAGGCAGUAGUUGACGUAGAGGAGUAAGAACUGGAAACCAAACACCUCAGCAGUACAGGCCCCUCUCUCACUCCUCCCUCCUCCUCCACCUCCUGUUACCUCCUCCCUGCCACGGGGGCAAAAUGGAGAAACAGCAGGGCCAGAGGAGCCCACUGAUGAGGAGAUGCUGGAGGCCUCACAGGAGCCUCAUGCUCCUGUGGCCCAGGCUACACCUCUGGUGGCCCCACGGGUCCAGGCUGCCCUAUGGGUCCAGGCUGCCCCAGCGGUCCAGGCUCCACCACCACCACCACCUGCACUGACGGAGCAGAUGGCUGCCCCACCACCUCCUCCACCUGCUGGCAGUGCUGAGCUGCUCCCUGACUCCUGGAGAGCAGCUCUCACUGCAGAGCAGCAGCAGUGGAUCGGCCGGGUGCUGUUUUCCAGGGACAGCUCGGGGAGGCCACGGCUCAUCGGAGACCUGAACCUCUGGUGGUACCCUCCCCAGACCCGGCCGGUCUACAGUCAGCCUCCCGCGUCCCCCGACCCCUUCUUCGCAUGUCGGCUGUUCCUGUGGAUGCCACACAGGAUCUGGCGUCUGCAGCUGACAUGCCCCCAGCCUUCAUGCACAGGGUCCAUGAUGAAGGCUGGGCUGUACAGGACCAUCCGGAGGGUCCUGGACAUCGACGGCUGGUAUCUCAUGGCCACUGAGUACCUAGAGUGCCGUCGAUGUAAGAAGAAGGUCAGAGGCUGGUCACAGGGCAUCAUCAGGCAGCUGCCCCACACCUACAGCUGCCAAUUUCCUGCUGUACUCAUGUACAGGUUGUCCUGACCUGAGGGUGGUUGCACAGCUGAAGUCCCGCACUCUUGGCAACAGUGCCACUCAGCUGUGCAACACCCUGCGGGAGACCCACACUGACUCCUGGAUGCGGAGAGCGAUCCACUACCUCGGCGUGUGUGAGCAGUUCCUGGCCUUGUGCUCCGUGAGGGGGCCGUUUCCACCACCGCCCCAGAUGCCCCCUCUGCCGUCAGCCGAGUGGCUGCUGACGGUGUACGGCUACGACGUCCUAAUGUGGCUGGAGGAGUACAAGGCCAGGAUCACGUCCACCUUUGGAUCCAUCCUGAAGAUGGAUUAAACCAAGAAGGUGAAGGAAGUUUAUCUGUUUGACGUGUCUCUCACUGAAACCUGUGCGUCUCUGUGUCCGUCCAGGUGACGAAGAAGCUCGCAGGUAUCGCCUCGGACACGGCCGCGUGGGUUACUGUCGGUAACGAGCAUGGGCAGGUCCUCAUCAGUGUCCUCACCUCCUCAGAGGGCUCUGAGGGCCUGUCCAGCAUGGUGGCCGGAUUGAUGAGGCGAUACCAGCACACCGGGGUAGCUCCCCCCCAGCUCAUCUACGUAGACCGGGACUGCUGCAGCCGAGACGGCGUGUCCAAGACAGCUGCCUUAUUUCCAGAGUGGGGACAGCUGCUGGUGAGGCUGGACAUCUGGCACCUGAUGCGGUGCUUCGCAUCUGGUGUCACCACUGAGUCUCACCAGCUCUACCCCACUUUCAUGAGGCAGCUGUCUCAUUGCAUCUUCGAGGUGGAUUCUGGAGAUGCCCGCCGUCUCGCUGAGGCCAAGCGGUCCGAGCUGGAGGGGAAGCACGGGAUGGUCGGCCUGACGGACGCCGAGGUGAUCCGGAGCAUCUCCAAGGAGGAGUGGAGGCUCCACUGUCGUCGGCGGACGCGUGGGGCCGAGGAGACCGCACUCUUCGUCAACGACCUCCUGGACACCUUCAGCCUUCCGGCCGGACGCAACACCCUGGACAUCCCGCUGCUAGACGCUCUCCGCAUCCAGGACAUCUGGAAGACGCAGAGACGCCACCUCAGCUGCAUUCAGGACCCACCGGGCGUGCAGCUGUACAGCCAGACUGGCAGGCUGACAAAGGGCGGGGUCAGCCUGCCGGUUUAUCGCUGCGCCGGGGGCUCCACGUCCCUGGAGUCCUUCCACCUCCACCGGUUCAUCCCAGUUUACAGUGCCAGCGCCAAAUACUUCCAGGUGUUCCUGGUUGAUGGACUGGUGAGGUGGAAUGAGGACAGAGCAGCAGCAGCUGCACCUCCGGUUGCAGCUGAGGAGCAAGUGGCGUCUCUGCGCUCCUACUGUGGCCACCUCAAGCACAUCCUGAACCAGAAGAGCCAACGGGUGCUUGGCCUUCACAUGUUUCAGGACUUCACCAGGCCUGCUGCGUACACAGGUGAGCUCAUCGGGGUGGAGUACCUGUACCAGCAGACCGGACGUGUGCUUGAGGAUGUCAGUCUGGACCCUGACGCUCCGGACGAGGCUGCUGCCAUCCAGGCGCUGGAGGAGGCGGAUGAGGGGUUCGAGGACGAUGUCGGGGACCCCACGGUCUUCGAGCCAGAGCCCCCCUCCGCCAUCACAGCGGCAGCAGCCCGGUCAGGUGAUCCAGCUGACGCACCCAGGUCUGAGCCAUCCUGUCCGGCCGCCCCUGACCAGGACGCCCCUCCUGAUGCCCGGAAGGACCAACUCCGGCUGCCCCAUACUCCUCCGACUCUGAGGAGGAGAUCCAGGGUCCUGAUGGUCAGCCGGGAUACCAACAUGUCCUGAAGUUGGCCCAGGCCCUGGUGGAGAUCCGGAACCUUCAGGGGCUCUCUGACAGCAGGGUAGACAGGCUCAUUGCACUCUGGCAACGCCUGCCAGAGUGCAACAAGCGCCGAGUCGUCUACCCUGCGAGACACCAGGAGAGGCAGCCCAUGGGGCGGUUCAAGGCAGCGAAGGGGAAGAACACCUCCUGUCCUGGAAAGGAGAGUCUCCAACGCUGCCUGCUCGGACAGAACGCGGGCCCUGCAAACUGGCCCAGCGCCAGUCGCCUGGUCGAGGCCAUUUGCAGCCAGCUCUGCCGUCUCCACCCCGCCACAGCCCGUGUCGGUGGGGUCCCAAAGACCCGGUGGUCCCUGGUCCUCACCGACUACGUGGCCAUCAGAGAGGCAGUGCUGGUGUGCCCGCGUCUGAUGGCUCAGACCACCAUCCAGCUCUUUGAGCUCAACCAGAGGACCCUCUCUCAGUGGUUCUCACGUCGUCAGAAGGCCUGGAAGAGGACUGUGCUGGAGCAGGGAACUGGCAUCGUCCCUGCUCUAGCAGUAGCAGAUGAGCCUCUCCCUGCUGCCAAAGGGCUGUCCCUGGUGCAGGUGGGACAGGGACAGCCAUUCGUGUUCCCUGGACCUGAGGAGCAGCCUGGACCAUCAGCUGGAGGUCAGCCAGCCCCUCCUCCUCCUCCUCCUCCUCCUCCUCCUCCUCAUCAGCAUCCUCCAGCCAUCGGCUCUGCUCCUGCAGCCGCUCCUCUUCCUGGACUGACUCAGCUGCCAAGGACGACGGCUUACAGGAAGAGGAAGGCAGCCGAGGAGGCUGCUGCGGCUGCUGCUGCGGGAGAGGGCCCUCCACCACGGACUAAAGCCCGCCGGCAGACUGCACAGUACACCUGCAGUAAGUGUGGCCAGCUCAAACGGCUGGACACUGGCCACACACGCAUUGCAGGUGUGUCCUACUGUGCAGCUGUCGGCGGGAUGACUGUAGAGGAGUGGAGGGAAAAUAUGAGGAGGCCUCCAGAGGAGAAAACAGACUCAAUUUUUUUUUUCGUUAAAAUUAUUUUUGGUUAAAAACAUGUUCAGAUAUAUGUAUGUAUGUGUAUAUGUAUGUAUGUGUAUAUGUAUAUAUAUAUAUAUACACACACAUAUAUAUAUAUAUAUAUAUAUAUAUAUAUAUAUAUAUAUAAAUAGAAUUUAUUAAAUAAAAAGAAUGUCAUCUGCA
ensembl:lncRNA